ACUGCCAUUUUUUGGUUUUUACAGACACUUAGGUUGGCGUCAUUAAAACUAGUUUUUCAACCACCCUACAAAUUUCUUGUUAACAAACUAUAGUUUUGGCAAGUCGGUUAGGGCAUCUACUUUGCAUGACAAAAGUUAUUUUUCCAACAAUUGUUUACAGUCAGAUUAUUUCACUUAUAAUUCACUGUAUCACAAUUCCAGUGGGUCAGAGGUUUACAUACACUAAGUUGACUGUGCCUUUAAACAGCUUGGAGAAUUCCAGAAAAUGAUGUCAUGGCUUUCGAAGCUUCUGAUAGGCAAAUAGACAUAAUUUGAGUCAAUUGGAGGAGUACCUGUGGAUGUAUUUCAAAGCCUACCUUCAAAUUCAGUGCCUCUUUGCUUGACAUCAUGGGAAAAUCAAAAGUAAUCAGCCAAGACCUCAGAGAAAAUUGAAAAAUUGUAGACCUCCACAAGUCUGGUUCAUCCUUGGGAGCAAUUUCCAAACACCUGAAGGUACCACGUUCAUCUGUACAAACCAUAGUAUGCAAGUAUUAACACCAUGGGACCACGCAGCCGUCAUACCGCUCAGGAAGGAGACGCGUUCUGUCUCCUAGAGAUGAACGUACUUCGGUGUAAAAAGUGCAAGUCAAUCCCAGAACAACAGCAAAGAACCUUGUGAAGAUGCUGGAGUAAAAGUAACUAUAUCCACAGUAAAACGAGUCCUAUACUGACAUAACCUGAAAGGCUGCUCAACAAGGAAGAAGCCACUGCUCCAAAACUGCCAUAAAAAAGCCAGACUAUGGUUUGCAACUGCACAUGGGGACAAAGAUCGUACUUUUUGGAGAAAUGGGAAAAGGGGGAGGCUUGCAAGCCAAAGAACACCAUCCCAACCGUGAAGAACAGGGGGUGGCAGCAUCUUGUUUAGGGGGUGCUUUGCUGCAGGAGGGACUGGUGCACUUCACAAAAUAGAUGGCAUCAUGAAGAGGAAAAUUAUGUGGAUAUAUUGAAGCGGCAUCUCAAGACAUCAGUCAGGAAGUUAAAGCUUGGUCGCAAAUGGGUCUUCCAAAUGGACAAUAACCUCAAGCAUACUUCCAAAGUUGUGGCAAAAUGGCUUAAGGACAACGAAGUCAAGGUAUUGGAGUGGCCAUAACAAAGCCCUGACCUCAUCAUUACUUUAAGACAUGAAGGUCAGUCAAUACGGGAAAUUUAAAGAACUGAAAGUUUCUUCAAGUGCAGUCGCAGAAUCCGUCAAGCGCUAUGAUGAAACUGGCUCUCAUGAGGACCGCCACAGGAAAGGAAGACCCAGAGUUCCCUCUGCUGCAGAUUAUAUGUUCAUUUGAAUUAACUGCACCUCAGAUUGCAGCCCAAUGCUUCAGAGUUCACGUAACAUACACAUCUCAACAUCAACUGUUCAGAGGAGAUUGUGUGAAUCAGGCCUUCAUGGUCGAAUUGCUGCGAAGAAAGGACACCAAUAAGAAGAGGCUUGCUUGGGCCAAGAAACUGAGAUUUUUGCUUCCAACCACUGUGUCUUUGUGAGACGCAGAGUAGGUGAACGGAUGAUCUCUGCAUGUGUGGUUCCCACCGUGAAGCGUGAAGGAGGAGGUGUGGGGGUGCUUUGCUGGUAACACGGACAAUGACCCAAAACACACCUCCAGGCUGUAUAAGGGCUAUUUGACCAAGAAUGAGAGUGAUGGUGCUGUAUCAGAUGACCUGGCCUCCACAAUCACCCGACCUCAACCCAAUUGUGAUGGUUUGGGAUGAGUUGAACCGCAGAGUGAAUGAAAGCAGCCAACAAGUAUUCAGCAUAUAUGGGAAAUCCUUCAAGACUGUUUGAAAAGCAUUCCUCAUGAAGCUGGUUGAGAGAAUGCCAAGAGUAUGCAAAGCUGUCAUCAAAGCAAAGGGUGUCUACUUUGAAGAAUCUCAAAUCUAAAAUGUAUUUAGAUUUAACACUUUUUUUGGUUACUGCAUGAUUCCAUAUGGGUUAUUUCAUAGUUUUGAUGUCUUCACUAUUAUUCUACAAUAUAGAAAACUGCGAAAAUAUAGGAAAACCCUUGAAUGAGAAUGUGUUCUAUAACUUUUGACUGGUUCUGUACAUAAUGUGAAAAUUCUGUAAAGCACUGUCUUGUGAUGCUGCAGGCAUGCGUUCAGGUGUGUAACCUACUUCAACCUAAUUUAAUCUAAUCUGAAGAUGCUUAGUCUCUUCUGGAACACAAACUGUGUUUCCAUCCAAAUGCUGCCAGAUUUUCAUGCAAAUAUUCUCAAAUCUACAUAAAAACAAUGUGCACAUUUUCCAACCAGAGAUGUUUCUAAUGUCAUGUACGGUCAUUGUAUCAGAUCAGUGAAACAUUUAGGUCAAUGGUUGCAAUAGUACUUCUGUAUUAAUAAACAUACAUGUGUAUGUGCAAGAAA